UCACGCGGAUCUUUCCCUUUCUCAAACGGUGCCGUUUUGUUUAUUAUCAAAAACUAAAAAAAAAAAAAACUAUGAAUGGCAGUCUGCCAUUUUUUGCCGAAAUCAAUCCCUAACCCCUUCUAUUUCUCCCCCCAAUUUCUCUCUUAACCAAACAUUUCUCCUGAACGCCACGCCACUAUAACAGUGACUAACAUGCCUGCUUUCUGGUUGCUUUUUCAGCCUUAGGAUCCUCUCUACACUUCGAUUUCGACGAAGCAAAAGGAAUCGCAAGGUGUGUAUGGCAUGGCAAAAACCGUUCGUGGCCGUGGACAGAGGAAUGGAGGCGCACGUGCGUUGGGGAGGCUGAUGGCGUUUGCGCCGCUGGUUGUUGCCUAGGGUUGGCCGAAAGCUUGGUUGAUGUUUUGGGCCUGGGGUAUUUUGGGUUUAGGUUUAUUAGUUUGGGUUAAUAAAUGUAGAUGGACUAGACUUUUAAAUUAUUUUGGUUUUUUUUUGUUUUAUUUUGGUUUUGGUGUAAGCCCGGGCAAAUUUGGGCCUAUACAACAUUAAUUUGGAUUGUUUGCCAUUUCUGUUAUUAUGCUAUUUUAUGAUUUUUAAACCAAGCUUAAGUAAUAAAAUAAAAGUAUAAUCUAGCUUUGGAAAUUUUAAUAUAA